rnacentral:rRNA from 1 species
UUAAGCUAAGAAGAGCGUAGGGAGAAUGCCUUGGCAUUAGGAGCCGAUGAAGGACGUGAUAAGCUGCGAUAAGCUGCGGGGAUCAGCAAGUAUGAAUUGAUCCGCAGAUUUCCGAAUGGAGCAAUCCGUAUGUGUAUGCACAUACAUCAUAUACUGAAUCAAAUAGGUAUAUGAGGGGAACCGCCUGAACUGAAACAUCUAAGUAGGGCGAGGAAGAGAAAUCAACCGAGAUUCUGUGAGUAGUGGCGAGCGAAAGCGGAAGAGGCUAAACCAUAGGUAGCAAUACUUAUGGGGUUUCGGACAGCAUUUAGUAUUGAUAAUUUCUAGUUGAAACGUGUGGGAAAACGUACCGAAGAGUGUGAGAGUCACGUAAGCGAAAGAGAGAGUCAGCGAGCUGUAUCCAAAGUACCGUGGGACACGUGAAACCCCGUGGGAAGAUGGGGGGACCAUCCUCCAAGCCUAAAUACUACCUAAUGACCGAUAGCGAAUAGUACUGUGAAGGAACGGUGAAAAGAACCCCGGGAGGGGAGUGAAAAAGAACCUGAAACCCUAUGCUUACAAGCACCGAGAGCACGUCAAAGUGUGAUCGGGUACCUUUUGUAGAAUGGUCCGGCGAGUUAUUGUAUGCGGCAAGGUUAAGUGCUUAAGGCACGGAGCCGAAGCGAGAGCAAGUCUGAACAGGGCGAAAAAGUCGUAUGCAAUAGACCCGAAACCGAGUGACCUAUCCAUGUCCAGGCUGAAGUGGAGGUAAAACUCCAUGGAGGGCCGAACACACGUCCGUUGAAAAGGCCGGUGAUGAGGUGUGGAUAGCGGAGAAAUUCCAAUCGAACUCGGAUAUAGCUGGUUCUCUCCGAAAUAGCUUUAGGGCUAGCCUCGUGAAAGAUUACUGGAGGUAAAGCACUGAAUGGGCUAGGGGUCGAAAGAUUACUGAACCCUAUCAAACUAAGAAUGCCAGAUAAUUGAUUCACGGGAGUCAGACAAUGUGAGAUAAGUCUCAUUGUCAAAAGGGAAACAGCCCAGACCCACAGCUAAGGUCCCUAAACAUUGUUAAGUGGAAAAGGAUGUGGGGUUGCAUAAACAACCAGGAUGUUGGCUUAGAAGCAGCCACUCAUUAAAAGAGUGCGUAAUAGCUCACUGGUCGAGUGACCCUGCGCCGAAAAUUCAACGGGGCUAAACAAUGUACCGAAGCUUGGGAUUCUAAAGUAAUUUAGAGUGGUAGGAGAGCGUCGAAUAAGGGGUGAAGUCAGAGCGGAAGCGCUGGUGGACUUUAUUCGAGUGAGAAUGCCGGAAUGAGUAGCGAGAAUUAUGUGAGAAUCAUAAUGGCCGAAAAUCUAAGGUUUCCUGAGGAAGGUUCGUCCGCUCAGGGUAAGCCGGGAGCUAAGGCGAGGCGGAGACGCGUAGCCGAUGCACAUACGGUUGAAAUUCCGUAGCCACCGAAAGAUUUAAGUACAGGGACGCUUUAGAAGUGAUGUUGCCGGGCGAUGGUUGACCCGGUCGUAAGGGAUCGAAAAUGAGUAGAGAAGUCAUCAUGGAAAGAGACAAGAAAAGCUGUAUGAAUAUCUUAGGUGCCCGUACCGCAAACCGACACAGGUAGAUAGGAAGAAGAUUCUAAGGCCAACGGGAGAAGGGUUGUUAAGGAACUCGGCAAGUUGACCCCGUAACUUAGGGAUAAGGGGUGCUCAAGUGAUUGAGCCGCAGAGAAUAGGCCCAGGCGACUGUUUAGCAAAAACACAGGUCUCUGCUAAAUCGAAAGAUGACGUAUAGGGGCUGACACCUGCCCGGUGCCGGAAGGUUAAGAGGAGAUGUGAGAGCAUUGAAUUGAAGCCCCGGUAAACGGCGGCCGUAACUAUAACGGUCCUAAGGUAGCGAAAUUCCUUGUCAGGU